UACGGGGGGGGCAAGCGUUGUUCGGAAUUACUGGGCGUAAAGGGCGCGUAGGCGGCCUGCUAAGUCGAACGUGAAAUCCCCGGGCUCAACCCGGGAACUGCGUCCGAUACUGGAAGGCUUGAAUCCGGGAGAGGGAUGUGGAAUUCCAGGUGUAGCGGUGAAAUGCGUAGAUAUCUGGAGGAACACCGGUGGCGAAGGCGGCAUCCUGGACCGGUAUUGACGCUGAGGCGCGAAAGCCAGGGGAGCAAACGGG
rnacentral:rRNA from 1 species